rnacentral:sRNA from 1 species
GCAUAGCCCCGAUAGCAGCGGCAUCCUUUUUUUCUUGUUUUUUCGAACGAGAAAAAAAGAUAGAGCGAAUAGCGGGACAAAUC